rnacentral:rRNA from 1 species
UACGUAGGGUCCGAGCGUUGUCCGGAAUUAUUGGGCGUAAAGAGCUCGUAGGCGGUUUGUCGCGUCUGCUGUGAAAUCCCGAGGCUCAACCUCGGGCCUGCAGUGGGUACGGGCAGACUGGAGUGUUGCAGGGGAGACUGGAAUUCCUGGUGUAGCGGUGAAAUGCGCAGAUAUCAGGAGGAACACCGGUGGCGAAGGCGGGUCUCUGGGCAACAACUGACGCUGAGGAGCGAAAGCGUGGGGAGCGAACAGG